CCAGAGACUCCAGUGAAGAAGCACGAAGCUGAACCAACAAAAACAAAAACAGGUAGUUACGCUAAAUGUUUUUUCAUUUUUGUAGAGAUGUUAAGACCUAAUGAUGUAAAAUAACAUGUAGGUCAUCAAGUUAGAGGCACUUACUCUACCUACUCCCUUAUCAAUUAUGAUAUAUCAUGGAAUGUAAUAUCUUCCACAGAGACUCCAGUGAAGAAGCACGAAGCUGAACCAACAAAAACAAAAACAGGUAGUUACUGAAAAUGUUUUUUCAUUUUUGUAGAGAUGUUAAGACCUAAUGAUGUAAAAUAGCAUGUAGGUCAUCAAGUUAGAGGCACUUACUCUACCUACUCCCUUAUCAAUUAUGAUAUAUCAUGGAAUGUAAUAUCUUCCACAGAGACUCCAGUGAAGAAGCACGAAGCUGAACCAACAAAAACAAAAACAGGUAGUUGCGGAAAAUGUUUUUUCAUUUUUGUAGAGAUGUUAAGACCUAAUGAUGUCAAAUAACAUGUAGGUCAUCGAGUUAGAGGCACUUAUUCUACCUACUCCCAUAUCAAUUAUGAUAUAUCAUGGAAUGUAAUAUCUUCCACAGAGACUCCAGUGAAGAAGCACGAAGCUGAACCAACAAAAACAAAAACAGGUAUUACCCUAAAUGUUUUUUCAUUUUUGUAGAGAUGUUAAGACCUAAUGAUGUAAAAUAACAUGUAGGUCAUCAAGUUAGAGGCACUUACUCUACCUACUCCCUUAUCAAUUAUGAUAUAUCAUGGAAUGUAAUAUCUUCCACAGAGACUCCAGUGAAGAAGCACGAAGCUGAACAACAAAAACAAAAACAGGUAAUUACCCUAAAUGUUUUUUCAUUUUUGUAGAGAUGUUAAGACCUAAUGAUGUCAAAUAACAUGUAGGUCAUCGAGUUAGAGGCACUUAUUCUACCUACUCCCAUAUCAAUUAUGAUAUAUCAUGGAAUGUAAUAUCUUCCACAGAGACUCCAGUGAAGAAGCACGAAGCUGAACCAACAAAAACAAAAACAGGUAGUUACGGAAAAUGUUUUUUCAUUUUUGUAGAGAUGUUAAGACCUAAUGAUGUAAAAUAACAUGUAGGUCAUCGAGUUAGAGGCACUUACUCUACCUACUCCCAUAUCAAUUAUGACAUGUCAUGGAAUGUAAUAUCUUCCACAGAGACUCCAGUGAAGAAGCAUGAAGCUGAACCAACAAAAACAAAAACAGGUAAUUACGCUAAAUGUUUUUCAUUUUUGUAGAGAUGUUAAGACCUAAUGAUGUAAAAUAACAUGUAGGUCAUCAAGUUAGAGGCACUUACUCUACCUACUCCCUUAUCAAUUAUGAUAUAUCAUGGAAUGUAAUAUCUUCCACAGAGACUCCAGUGAAGAAGCACGAAGCUGAACCAACAAAAACAAAAACAGAUAGUUGCGGAAAAUGUUUUUUCAUUUUUGUAGAGAUGUUAAGACCUAAUGAUGUAAAAUAACAUGUAGGUCAUCGAGUUAGAGGCACUUACUCUACCUACUCCCAUAUCAAUUAUGACAUGUCAUGGAAUGUAAUAUCUUCCACAGAGACUCCAGUGAAGAAGCAUGAAGCUGAACCAACAAAAACAAAAACAGGUAAUUACGCUAAAUGUUUUUCAUUUUUGUAGAGAUGUUAAGACCUAAUGAUGUAAAAUAACAUGUAGGUCAUCAAGUUAGAGGCACUUACUCUACCUACUCCCUUAUCAAUUAUGAUAUAUCAUGGAAUGUAAUAUCUUCCACAGAGACUCCAGUGAAGAAGCAUGAAGCUGAACCAACAAAAACAGGUAAUUACCCUAAAUGUUUUUUCAUUUUUGUAGAGAUGUUAAGACCUAAUGAUGUCAAAUAACAUGUAGGUCAUCGAGUUAGAGGCACUUAUUCUACCUACUCCCAUAUCAAUUAUGAUAUAUCAUGGAAUGUAAUAUCUUCCACAGAGACUCCAGUGAAGAAGCAUGAUGCUGAACCAACAAAAACAAAAACAGGUAAUUACGCUAAAUGUUUUUCAUUUUUGUAGAGAUGUUAAGACCUAAUGAUGUAAAAUAACAUGUAGGUCAUCAAGUUAGAGGCACUUACUCUACCUACUCCCUUAUCAAUUAUGAUAUAUCAUGGAAUGUAAUAUCUUCCACAGAGACUCCAGUGAAGAAGCACGAAGCUGAACCAACAAAAACAAAACCAGGUAAUUACCCUAAAUGUAUUUUCAUUUUUGUAGAGAUGUUAAGACCUAAUCAUGUAAAAUAACAUGAAGGUCAUCGAGUUAGAGGCACUUACUCUACCUACUCCCAUAUCUAUUAUGAUAUGUCAUGGAAUGUAAUAUCUUCCACAGAGACUCCAGUGAAGAAGCACGAAGCUGAACCAACAAAAACAAAACCAGGUAAUUACCCUAAAUGUUUUUUCAUUUUUGUUGAGAUGUUAAGACCUAAUGAUGUAAAAUAACAUGUAGGUCAUCAAGUUAGAGGCACUUACUCUACCUACUCCCUUAUCAAUUAUGAUAUAUCAUGGAAUGUUAUAUCUUCCACAGAGACUCCAGUGAAGAAGCACGAAGCUGAACCAACAAAAACAAAACCAGGUAAUUACCCUAAAUGUCUUUUCAUUUUUGUACAGAUGUUAAGACCUAAUGAUGUAAAAUAACAUGUAGGUCAUCGAGUUAGAGGCACUUACUCUACCUACUCCCAUAUCAAUUAUGAUAUAUCAUGGAAUGUAAUAUCUUCCACAGAGACUCCAGUGAAGAAGCACGAAGCUGAACCAACAAAAACAAAAUCAGGUAGUUACGUGUAACGGACCGUUUUGCCCACAAGAGGUUAAAAACCGUUUAGGCGAUAUUCCCCUUUUUCAGAUGCACAGACAGCUACUGCAAACCCACGAAUUCACCAACUCCCGAACUGCAACCAAGGGAAUACUCAAAACUCCCAAACUGCAUAUCAAGUAGUGUUCUAAACUCCCAAACUAGAGACACACGAAUAGCUGUUAGCAGACGAACAGGAAAAGCACCAAAGCGGCUUACACUCCUGGCAAUCAGUCUCUAACAGCAUACAGUAAAUCCCCCCAUAGACGAGACGAAACUUCGGUUUGUGGGUCAAGCAGAAUCUGAUUUACUGGGGCUAACUGCCCGGCUUUUAUGCUCCCCUAGGGGAGCAAACGGGAGACUGGGACACAAAGGGUAAAAGGACCAAUCACAGACUUACACAUUUCAACCAUCCCACAAUGCAUCACAAUCCCUUCUCUCUGCCCUGGAGAUAAUUGAGAAGUAAUUCAAUUAUCUCCAAAUACUGAAUCUACCGAACACCCAGCAGAAAAGUACGAAUAAGUCUUUUCUGCAGGGAAAAAGAUGUCUUUUAACAUGGGGCCAUGGUCCUGGCGAGCAACCAGGCUUCUCCAGUGUACAGUGGCGAGGUUGGUUUCGCCACAUUACGCUAAAUGUUUUUUUCAUUUUUGUAGCGAUGUUAAGACCUAAUGAUGUAAAAUAACAUGUAGGUCAUCGAGUUAGAGGCACUUACUCUACCUACUCCCAUAUCAAUUAUGAUAGAUCAUGGAAUGUAAUAUCUUCCACAGAGACUCCAGUGAAGAAGCACGAAGCCGAACCAACAAAAACAAAAACAGGUAAUUACCCUAAAUGUUUUUUCAUUUUUGUUGAGAUGUUGAGACCUAAUGAUGUAAAAUAACAUGUAGGUCAUCGAGUUAGAGGCACUUACUCUGCCUACUCCCAUAUCAAUUAUGAUAUAUCAUGGAAUGUAAUAUCUUCCACAGAGACUCCAGUGAAGAAGCACGAAGCUGAACCAACAAAAACAAAAACAGGUGAUUACCCUAAAUGUUUUUUCAUUUUUGUAGAGAUGUUAAGACCUAAUGAUGUAAAAUAAUAUGUAGGUCAUCAAGUUAGAAGACCUAAUGAUGUAAAAUAACAUGUAGGUCAUCGAGUUAGAGGCGCUUACUCUACCUACUCCCUUAUCAAUUAUGAUAUAUCUUGGAAUGUAAUAUCUUCCACAGAGACUCCAGUGAAGAAGCACGAAGCUGAACCAACAAAAACAAAACCAGGUAAUUACCCUAAAUUUCUUUUCAUUUUUGUACAGAUGUUAAGACCUAAUGAUGUAAAAUAACAUGUAGGUCAUCGAGUUAGAAGCACUUACUCUACCUACUCCCAUAUCAAUUAUGAUAUAUCAUGGAAUGUAAUAUCUUCCACAGAGACUCCAGUGAAGAAGCACGAAGCUGAACCAACAAAAACAAAAUCAGGUAAUUACGUGUAACGGACCGUUUUGCCCACGAGGUUAAAAACCGUUUAGGCGAUAUUCCCCUUUUUCAGAUGCACAGACAGCUACUGCAAACCCACGAAUUCACCAACUCCUGAACUGCAACCAAGGGAAUACUCGAAACUCCCGAACUGCAUAUCAAGUAGUGUUCUAAACUCCCGAACUAGAGACACACGAAUAGCUGUUAGCAGACGAACAGGAAAAGCCCCCAAGCGGCUUACACUCCUGGCAAUCAGUCUCUAACAGCAUACAGUAAAUCCCCCCAUAGACGAGACGACACUUCGGUUUGAGGGUCAAGCAGAAUCUAAUUUACUGGGGCUAACUGCCCGGCUUUUAUGAAGGUCUCCCACCUGGUGGACACUCCCCUAGGGGACCAAAUGGGAGACUGGGACACAAAGGGUAAAAGGACCAAUCACAGACUUACACAUUUCAACCAUCCCACAAUGCAUCACAAUCCCUCCUCUCUGCCCUGGAGAUAAUUGAGAAGUAAUUCAAUUAUCUCCAAAUACUGAAUCUACCGAACACCCAGCAGAAAAGUACGAAUACGUCUUUUCUGCAGGGAAAAAGAUGUCUUUUAACAUGGGGCCAUAGUCCAAAGGCAGCAGGCGAGCAACCAGGCUUCUCCAGUGUACAGUGGCGAGGUUGGUUUCGCCACAUUACGCUAAAUGUUUUUUUCAUUUUUGUAGCGAUGUUAAGACCUAAUGAUGUAAAAUAACAUGUAGGUCAUCGAGUUAGAGGCACUUACUCUACCUACUCCCAUAUCAAUUAUGAUAGAUCAUGGAAUGUAAUAUCUUCCACAGAGACUCCAGUGAAGAAGCACGAAGCUGAACCAACAAAAACAAAAACAGGUAAUUACCCUAAAUGUUUUUUCAUUUUUGUUGAGAUGUUAAGACCUAAUGAUGUAAAAUAACAUGUAGGUCAUCGAGUUAGAGGCACUUACUCUCCCUACUCCCAUAUCAAUUAUGAUAUAUCAUGGAAUGUAAUAUCUUCCACAGAGACUCCAGUGAAGAAGCACGAAGCUGAACCAACAAAAACAAAAACAGGUGAUUACCCUAAAUGUUUUUUCAUUUUUGUAGAGAUGUUAAGACCUAAUGAUGUAAAAUAAUAUGUAGGUCAUCAAGUUAGAGGCGCUUACUCUACCUACUCCCUUAUCAAUUAUGAUACAUCAUGGAAUGUAAUAUCUUCCACAGAGACUCCAGUGAAGAAGCACGAAGCUGAACCAACAAAAACAAAAACAGGUGAUUACCCUAAAUGUUUUUUCAUUUUUGUAGAGAUGUUAAGACCUAAUGAUGUAAAAUAAUAUGUAGGUCAUCAAGUUAGAGGCGCUUACUCUACCUACUCCCUUAUCAAUUAUGAUAUAUCUUGGAAUGUAAUAUCUUCCACAGAGACUCCAGUGAAGAAGCACGAAGCUGAACCAACAAAAACAAAACCAG
rnacentral:lncRNA from 1 species